rnacentral:rRNA from 1 species
AUGGAAAAUCUAAUCUGGUGGCAGGAAAAUAUGGAGUCAAGUUUAGUAGCCGUCGCCGUUCAAACGCUCACCUCACGCGGGAGGCCGCCCGAUCCAUCCAUCCGUCCAGCGGUGGCGGUGGGUGGCAACGAACGAACGACGACAAAUCUCGCCCACGACGCGACGAAAUCACCUCCCCGCCCGGUCCCGGUCCUCCUUCCAGAUGGCAUCUCGCCCCGAAUAGAUAGAUGGAGUAGGUCAGACACGCACAGUCACAGGAGAGAGAACGUGAGAAUUUUUUUUGAAAAACUUAAAAAAGCAACGGGACGCACGCACACCCACAUGGGACACGGACGCGCCCGGGCCCGCUCCCGGUCCCCCUAG